AUUCCUGACUCGGAAGGACAAAGAGAGUAUCUUCACCAUGGACCACUUCCCUCUGUGGUACCGCCGGGCGGCCGAGCAUCCCCCUGGGAGCUUCAUCUACAGCAUCGUUUCAGAAGAUGACUCAGAGGGCGGCGGCCUACCAAAAGUGGUGACUGUUAGCACGGCAGUGGCUGUAUCUGUCGAUGGGAAGAUGGGUAUUGCUGCAGAAAGCGACAAUUGCACCUGCAGAAGCAGCUAGGAUGCAUGGAAAUUAGCUACAAUGACAUGAGCACCUUUUGCACUGAAAUAGAUGCAUCCAAGCAAGAGGAUUAAAGUGAUUUUACUAGAUUGACUUGGAAACCAGCAUGAUAUUACCAAUAAAAGGUCUGAGAGCAGCUG